rnacentral:rRNA from 1 species
AUGGGAUUUGGCCUUAUUCUUAUUCCGAUGGCAACAAAAAAUCUUCAUCGCAUAUGGUUUUUUCCUAGUAUUUUACUCUUAAGUAUAGCUAUGGUAUUCUAAGUUCAACUGUCUAUUCAACAAAAAAAUGGAAGUUCGAUCUAUCAAUAUUUGUGGUCUUGGACCGUCAAUAAUGAUUUUUCUUUAGAAUUUGGAUACUUGAUUGACCCACUUACUUCUAUUAUGUUAAUACUAAUUACUACUGUAGGAAUCCUGGUUCUUAUUUAUAGUGAUGGUUAUAUGUCUCUCGAUUCCGCUCAACCCCUCUUAAGCUACCACAUAGAUGCGUUGGCCUCGUGA